rnacentral:rRNA from 1 species
GUCGCGCGCGAAGCGAUCUUCGGGUCGUGAGUAGAGCGGCGCACGGGUGCGUAAGACGCGGGUGACCUAUCCGAGAGGCGGGGAUAACCCUUCGAAAGAGGGGCUAAUACCGGAUGAGCCCACAGGCGGAAACGCCCGGGGGCAAAGGGUGCGGUUUACUAGCCGCAUGUCUUCUUGGCGGGGCCCACGGCCUAUCAGCUAGUUGGUGGGGUAAUGGCCUACCAAGGCGAAGACGGGUAGCUGGUCUGAGAGGAUGGCCAGCCACACGGGGACUGAGACACGGCCCCGACUCCUACGGGAGGCAGCAGUGGGGAAUAUUGGGCAAUGGGCGCAAGCCUGACCCAGCGACGCCGCGUGGGUGAUGAAGGCCUUCGGGUCGUAAAGCCCUGUCGGGUGGAAAGAACGAUGGGGGAGCAAAUAGCUUCUUCAUGUGACGGUACCACCGAAGGAAGCACCGGCCAAUUCCGUGCCAGCAGCCGCGGUAAGACGGAAGGUGCAAGCGUUGCUCGGAAUCACUGGGCGUAAAGGGUGCGUAGGCGGCCUGGUAAGUCUGGCGUG